ACACUGUAGGAGGUGAGCCUUUCCCCAGGGUUACACUGUAGGAGGUGAGCCUUUCCCCAGGGUUACACUGUAGGAGGUGAGCCUUUCCCCAGGGUUACACUGUAGGAGGUGAGCCUUUCCCCAGGGUUACACUGUAGGAGGUGAGCCUUUCCCCAGGGUUACACUGUAGGAGGUGAGCCUUUCCCCACAGUUACACUGUAGGAGGUGAGCCUU